AUAGUCGGGGUUUCAAAGCCUCUC
rnacentral:siRNA from 1 species